rnacentral:rRNA from 1 species
ACGGGGUGCAGCAGGCGCGAAAACUUUACAAUGCGGGAAACCGUGAUAAGGGAACUCCGAGUGCCCGUAAAAUCGGGCUGUCCAUUUGUUUAAAAAACAAGUGAAGAAAGGGCCGGGCAAGACCGGUGCCAGCCGCCGCGGUAGUACCGGCGGCUCGAGUGGUGGCCACUAUUACUGGGCUUAAAGCGUUCGUAGCCGGUUUGUUAAGUCUCUGGGGAAAUCUUUCGGCUUAACCGGAAGGCGUCUCAGGGAUACUGGCAGACUAGGGACCGGGAGAGGUGAGGGGUACUUCAGGGGUAGGAGUGAAAUCCUGUAAUCCUUGAGGGACCACCUGUGGCGAAGGCGCCUUACCAGAACGGCUCCGACAGUGAGGGACGAAAGCUGGGGGAGCAAACCGGAUUAGAUACCCGGGUAGUCCCAGCUGUAAACGAUGCGCGUUAGGUGUAUCGGUGACCACGAGUCACCGAGGUGCCGAAGAGAAAUCGUGAAACGUGCCGCCUGGGAAGUACGGUCGCAAGGCUGAAACUUAAAGGAAUUGGCGGGGGAGCAC